AAGUCUGCUCUCAGGUAUUGCCAAGCCACCAAAGGAUUUGGGAAGCUUUCCUUGCUGUUCCCUGAUAUGCCUAUAAGCUUUUCUUUGCAAGUCUGGAAGUCAGCACCACAAUUCACGUUGAUAACGAAGCAGAUUCUACCAGCAGAAUUAAGUAAGAGCCUAAAUAAGAACCAGAAUGUUCUUACACUCGGAAUGUCAUUCAUCAUAAAGCUGAAAAAUGAGCAAUGUCCCACACUUCUCCUGCAUGCAGAAGGGACAAACAGGAGACAGAGCUUGCUGUCUGGCUGCCAAGGAUGGGACCUGGCUGAACAACCCAUCUCUGCCCCCAGAAAAAGCCCACCUGAGCACCCGAGAAACGUGAGCAAUCCUGCAUGGCGCUGAUGGAGUUCUCAGCCUACGUGUCACCCAAGCUGAACUGCAAAGCACGGCUGCCUGCCCUAGUUAUCAAAUGACCUGAAAUUCAGCACGAUCAUCUGCCACARCAGCUGGUUCACUGACGAUGAGAGCAGCUCCUGCCCCGCUGCUGAACCAGAGCCAGCCGGAGCUCAGGACCCGGCAUACACAGCCGCCCACACCGAGAUGCUGCUCCCAUCCCCCUGCAUGGCACGGCCUCAAAAUGUCUCUGUUCUUCGAAUUCUGCACACUGACUGCUUCCUCCACAUAUUUAUUUUUCAUCUGAAUCAUUAAAAAGAGAUUUCAGAGACCUAGUACUUCAAAGAGGGGAAAAAUCAUGAAACAUCCUUCCCAAGGAAUUAAAAUGAAGGUACUGACAAAUGCAUGAAUGGAGUUGCUCCCUGUCCUAGACAGAUCAUAAUCUAGGCAGCUCAGCUGCGAGAGAAAGGYGCAGGUGACCAGAGAGGUCAGCUGAGUUAGCAAGUGGAGAAAGCCUCUCAUGCAAGAAGCUUUAACACAGGUCGUUCAGAAGAAAAACCUGCAUGCUAUGAUCAUCUCACAUCCUGCUCUCACUCUUCAGUUGGAAUAGAUCCCAUUUUAUAAACCUGUUAGUAUCAACAGAUUUGSCUUCCACCAAAUGUGUAAAUCAGAGGUGACUGGACAAGGUCAGUGCAUUGCACAGAGGCCAUCAAAGAGACUCAGACCUGCAAGAGUUACAACAUACAGCAUCUGAAAUUCACACAUGAAAAAAAUUUUAUUUCUGGCUGCAGUGCAACAAUUCAGAAUUAAGAUUAGUUAACUKCUCCUGGAUGUACAAAUAUUCCAUCCUACUGUGGUCCCUUCCAACUUUACCCUGUGGUUCUCUCAUUCUGUGAUCCCCUCUUUCAAUCCUCCCAAUAAAAGCAAUGAUACCUGCUUUAGCAACCAUGUAGCUGCCUAAUUAAUAGUUAUCAUUACUAUAUUUUAAAUAACAAUARUUUAAAGAUAUAAACAGGGGAGGGCGACAUGCAGUUAUUUUUAGUUUGAAAAAGUGACACCRAAAAACCCAGACCAUGAAGGCAGGGCUUGGUACGCUGAGUGCCUUGUAAACACCAUUAUUCACRUGAUUUUUAAUUCCAGUAAGUAAUUUGGCUGAUGGCAGCCCAAAUCAUCCCUUCCAGA